rnacentral:rRNA from 1 species
UACGGGGGGGGCAAGCGUUGUCCGGAAUUACUGGGCGUAAAGGGCUCGUAGGCGGCCAACUAAGUCAUACGUGAAAUCCCUCGGCUUAACCGGGGAACUGCGUCUGAUACUGGAUGGCUUGAGAUUGGGAGAGGGAUGCGGAAUUCCAGGUGUAGCGGUGAAAUGCGUAGAUAUCUGGAGGAACACCGGUGGCGAAGGCGGCAUCCUGGACCAACACUGACGCUGAGGAGCGAAAGCCAGGGGAGCAAACGGG